AGUGGCGUACGGGAGAGUAACACGUAGGUAAUCUACCCUCGGGUGGGGAAUAACUUAGGGAAACUUAAGCUAAUACCGCAUAAUGCAGCGGUUCCGUUUGGAAACAGUUGUUAAAGCAUUUAUGCGCCUGAGGAGGAGCUUGCGGCAGAUUAGCUAGUUGGUAAGGUAACGGCUUACCAAAGCGACAAUCUGUAGCCGGUCUAAGAGGACGGUCGGUCUCACUGACACUGAAUAACGGGUCAGACUCCUACGGGAGGCAGCAGUCGGGAAUUUUGGGCAAUGGGCGAAAGCCUGACCCAGCAACGCCGCGUGAAGGAUGAAGUCCUUCGGGAUGUAAACUUCGAAAUUAUAGGAAGAAUCAAUGACGGUACUAUAAGUAAGCUCCGGCUAACUACGUGCCAGCAGCCGCGGUAAUACGUAGGGGGCAAGCGU
rnacentral:rRNA from 1 species